CAGCAGCCAGCGCAAACAUCAUCUGCAACAUGGCGCUCCUGGGCACCUCCCUCAUGUUUGGGAGCAAGCAGCUGCAACCUGAGAGGAAGGUACGGCUGGAGUCCACCUACCAGCUCUCCUGCUGGACCCCCAGGCUCAAGGACAUCAUGGAGGUUCCAGUAACAUCCUGAUCCCCAAGUUCUUCCUGGAUGACGUCCAAACCUUCCACCAGCUGCCCCCCAAGGAGGCCUAGAAGCAGCCCCCUCCUCCCAGAGACUUUGCCCCCCACAGCUCGCUGCUCCAGCUACACCUGAUUUUCUCAACAAGGCA